AUUGAACGCUGGCGGCAGGCCUAACACAUGCAAGUCGAACGGUAACAGGAAGAAGCUUGCUUCUUUGCUGACGAGUGGCGGACGGGUGAGUAAUGUCUGGGAAACUGCCUGAUGGAGGGGGAUAACUACUGGAAACGGUAGCUAAUACCGCAUAACGUCGCAAGACCAAAGAGGGGGACCUUCGGGCCUCUUGCCAUCGGAUGUGCCCAGAUGGGAUUAGCUAGUAGGUGGGGUAACGGCUCACCUAGGCGACGAUCCCUAGCUGGUCUGAGAGGAUGACCAGCCACACUGGAACUGAGACACGGUCCAGACUCCUAAGGGAGGCAGCAGUGGGGAAUAUUGCACAAUGGGCGCAAGCCUGAUGCAGACAUGCCGCGUGUAUGAAGAAGGCCUUCGGGUUGUAAAGUACUUUCAGCGGGGAGGAAGGGAGUAAAGUUAAUACCUUUGCUCAUUGACGUUACCCGCAGAAGAAGCACCGGCUAACUCCGUG
rnacentral:rRNA from 1 species